AUAAAUUUUACAAAGGAUAUAUGGAGAUCUGAAAAGAAGGCGAUGGAAAGAAUAUGAAGAAU
rnacentral:sRNA from 1 species